rnacentral:rRNA from 1 species
UACGUAGGGGGCGAGCGUUGUCCGGAAUUACUGGGCGUAAAGGGCGUGUAGGCGGCCUGUUAAGUCAGGGGUGAAACUCCGGGGCUCAACCCCGGGCGUGCCUCUGAAACUGAUGGGCUUGAGUGCUCUAGAGGGCAGUGGAAUUCCCGGUGUAGCAGUGAAAUGCGUAGAGAUCGGGAGGAACACCAGUGGCGAAGGCGGCUGCCUGGGGAGUAACUGACGCUGAGGCGCGAAAGCUAGGGGAGCAAACAGG